AUUUUGUUGACUCGUUUGCACGAAGGGGCGAUGCCACGUCAGCAGGAUGAUAAACUGAUAAUGGGAUUGAAGAGGACUUGUUAUUACAGGGAACUUGCCGGUGCGGAGAAGAGCGGCAAACAAUGGCGGGAGCUUUGAAAAGCUUUUCUCCGAUAGCCAUGAUCAAUGUCGAUACAGAACUUCUGGUCCAAUUGCCUCAGAAUGAUUGCAAUUCUAGGGUUUUGGUACUCGGAAGCACCGGUCGGGUCGGAACCUCCAUUGCCAUUGCUCUCUUCAAGUUCUCGUCAUUGGCGGUCGCAACAGGUGCGGCGUGCUGUGAAACGGAAAAAGGUGCUGCUAUGGUUGCGACAGUUGGGAGAAACUCUCGAUUUGUUGAAGUCGAUGCUGAGAAUGUAAAAUCAUUGGAGGCUGCUUUGAGAGAUGUAGAUCCUGUAGUUCAUACUGCUGGGUCAUUCCAACAGACAGAGAAGUGCACCGUACUUGAAGCUUCCAUAAAUAUCCAGGAAAGAGCUGCAUUUGCAUUAAAAAUCCUGCUUUUAUGAUCAUCUAUUGAUGACGUUCUUUGUCUAUCUGCAUACAGCCUACGUUGGUGCUUGUGAUGAUACAAACUAUUCACGGAAUGCAAAAGCUUUCAAGAAUAAAGCUAUGGAGGCAAAUAUUCCAGCUAUUACAACUGCAUUUAUCCUGGAGUGAGCAAUGUAAUGGUGGCAGAGCUAGUACGUGCUGGAGAGAUGAAAGCAGGGGUGAUCCCGAUAGGCUAAAGAGAAGUCCCUGAUAAUCAUGCAACUAAUUCUACCUGCACUGCAGGCAAUGGUGGUGCUGGUCCAUCUAUAUUAGCUACUAGUUUCUUGCUGCUGGGAGAGAAGGUGGUCGCCUAUAAUAAAGGUGACGAGAAGGAAAGUCGUGUAGUUUAUGUAAGAAUGUGAUUUCUCUGGGCACAGACAUGAUUUUAGAGAAUUGCUUUCAACAAUGAAAACAGAAUACACCAUUCUUUAAAAAACGAAGAGAACAAAAUCAGACCACAUAUAGUCAUCAGCAUGAAGAUCUGGAAUAGUACUUCGUCAGCCACAGAUCAAAUUCGACAUAAACGUAAAAAGAAGAGGGUACAUCGAACACACGAAAAUGUUAUGCAGAAAAUGGUAAUUACUGGAUUGUUGAAGCUCUAAACUGUAGUAGUUAUCCUUAUUCUUGUGUUAGCAUCCUGUCAGAGACUCAGCCAGCCAUUAGAUGUUGUGACACACCUGUUUACUCAUCUCUUCUCUGUCUGUACAUGGCACUGAACAACUUCAAACUUCCUCUGUGGAACACCUACAUAUUACUUCCUUUGUGGCAUCAAGGUUGUUGCGUUAAGAAUCAUGCCUCCACCUCCUUUUCAAGAUUUAGCCAUCAGGAAUUCCCAUGAGCCAAUAGUCAACUUUUGGCUGUCUCACCCUGAGGGGACAAACUGCAGCUGGAUUUCUUGAUAGAAUGAUCAAUUACUCGGUGCACCCAAGCCAUUUGAAAGCCUGAAUUAUAUCCUGAUGUGUUCGCAUAGUUCUUAUGGAUACCUGGUUGAUCGAGUAAAUUCUGAUCCACUGGUUGAUCGAGUAAAUUCUGAUCCACGAGAACCAUAAGAUCUCCAUAGAUCUUGCCACUGAGGCCUAACACUAUUUCUUUCAAACUGAUGACCUUGAUGAACAUCUGUAUGUGAUCUAGGGGUGCUGCUUGCAUUGCGUUUCUUUUGGGCAAUUCUCAUCUCUUCUUCCGCAUCAUAUCGGGAGCGCUGAAAAGACAGAUCAGUUUAGGCUACAAUCAUCUGAUAAAAUGUAUUGAGCUCGAUAACAUAGCCUAACACGAUAUGCAAGAGCGACUCGUGUAAAACUAGAGUUGCCACUGGAGGCUGCCUGCCGUGGGGGUACUUCUAGAUCUAAACAAUGCAUGGACAUAUUGCAACUUGAGGCAGAAAAGAGAAUGAAAAUAAUGGUCAACAAUGAAGAAACCUUUCUCUUGAAAUUUCUAUAAAAAAGUUGGGGAAGAACUCCCUUUUGGGUACCUUAAUAGGAUCUGAGAGUAUUGCAUAUGCCUCUCCAAUCAUUUUGAAAAGUUUAUCAGCAUCCAUGGGGACUCCUCCGGCUAUAUCCUUCCAUAGCACGUUAUCUCCGUUGUCUGCUCUAGCCAAGGACUGACCAGCCUAAACGAACGAACAACCCAUAUUAAGAAAGCACAGAGACAAAUAAGCAUAUCUUCAAAGUACACAAAAUUAGACCUUGUCUGGAUGGUAUCUGAGAGCAGCUUUCCUGUAUGCCUUCUUAAUUUCAGCUGAAGAUGCAGAUGGAUCAACUCCCCUGCCACAAAGAAUAAGGUACAUGUCCAAUGGAAUUUCCUUUCUCGACUCUUCUUCAACUUCUGCAAGGUGGAGAUGAGCUUGUCUCAAAUCAUUUGCACUGCUCGGUGCCCAGUAUAAACACAACAAAGAGAAAGCUUACCUUGAAAAAUUCUUCAUCAAGGGCUAUGGCAAGACUACAAUCCGCAAUAGCAUCAAUAACUUGGCCCUGAGCUUUGUAUGCAGCAGCUCGACUGUAGAAACAAAAAGCUGAGAAAGGACGUGACUCGACAUUGCAUGCCAAAGCAGCUGUGUAGUGUUCAAUGGCUUCUGAAUACCUUCCUGCCUGAAACGCUUCAUUCCCAGCAUCCUGCACUCAUUUAAGGAGAAAAAAAAAGGUAUGGGGAUAUAAUGCAAUUAUGAGAGUAAAAGAUAUUAAGGCAUUAGAAAACGAUAUAUGGAUAUGAUCAAGUUAUGGCUGAUAGGAUGGAGGAGCCUUGAAGGCAGUCGACUUAUGAUACCUUGUGACAUACGAGCUCCCUCAUGGUAAUGGCCAAUGGUAUUGAUGAUUCUAAAAACUUUCUUCCAUUCCUGGAACUUAAAAUGGUCAAGCUGGGAAAGUGAAAACAUUAUUUUUCCUUUCUUGUUUAUUUUCUUUGUAAUUUACUUCUUUAUCAGUGAAAUACUUGUUUCUUCUUCAAAAAUAUUAGGAAGCAUAAUAAAUUACCCAAUCACUGUAGGCACUUCCUCCUCUUGCAUUAAAGAAGCCAGACCCUCCUCAAGUUUUCCCAGAAGGAAGUAGCACUUGAGAGUCAAGCGGCAUCGCCAAAUCCUAAAGUACAACUUCUUUGAGAUUUCAGAAGAAUCCAGAUUUGAGGUCUGACUGACAAUAUCUUCUGAAGGAGAGUUCUUUUCAGCAGAAUCUACGAAAGAAAAUCUGUUACCUGAGCAUUUUGCAAACCAUCCGAGGCUUCCACUACAAUUUUCCGAUCCACAUAGAUAUCAUUCCCAGGUUGCAGGCACUUCUUGAAGAACUGUACCGCAUCGUCAAUUUCCCCAAGGCCAAGCUCUAAGGUACACUUUAUAAAAGCUGGGAUCUAUAGCAGCAGCCAUUGUACAGUCACUGAUUGCGUCUCGCAAUCUUCCAAGAGACAUUCUUGUUGCUGCACGAUUGCUAUAACAAAGCAUCAAAGCCCUGAG